UACGGGGGGGGCAAGCGUUGUUCGGAAUUACUGGGCGUAAAGGGCGUGUAGGCGGCCAACUAAGUCCGACGUGAAAUCCCCAGGCCUUAACCUGGGAACUGCGUCGGAUACUGGAUGGCUUGAAUCCGGGAGAGGGAUGCGGAAUUCCAGGUGUAGCGGUGAAAUGCGUAGAUAUCUGGAGGAACACCGGUGGCGAAGGCGGCAUCCUGGACCGGCAUUGACGCUAAGCCGCGAAAGCCAGGGGAGCAAACGGG
rnacentral:rRNA from 1 species